GGGGAUGUAGCUCAGCUGGGAGAGCGCCUGGUUUGCAACCAGGAGGUCAGCGGUUCGAUCCCGCUCAUCUCCA
rnacentral:tRNA from 1 species